UCCGGAUCGGGGCUCAGCGGCGGAGGAUUACCUCCUUGCCUAUCUGCUACACACCCGUCAUCGCGCUUCUCGCAGACAGGCGUCCUCUACUGUCCCCCGCCCUCUAAAGAACGCCCCACCGGCGCUGCGAGUCCUUUGCCUCGUGCGUGCCUGCACCGCAUCGGAGAGGCAUCCAAGCCGACCAUGUGGAACCUCUAUCAGCGAAAUCCCGGUCACCGGUCGGCUGAGGACGAUAGCGGCAGUGAGCUCGCCCUAGACUCGCUCCCGCACAGCCCCUUUCGUGUCGCCACGGCACCACAGGCAAGGAUUUCCCGACCCCACGUACCGUUUCGCCAGUGCCUUAUCGGUGCGGCUCUCAUUGCUGUGUCACUGACGCUCUUCGCGAGUCUUCGCAAGCUCCCCGACAUCCCCAGUGAGGACGCCAGCAUGGCAGAAACCGAGGCACCGCUGCCCCGAGCCGGCAGCCAACUUCCAGAGCCGCAGAACACUCUCACGAACGUGUCUCUUAUCAUGCCUCUCUUGCACGGUGGCGACCCCGGUUCCGGGAACACGACAGAAUACGUGCUCCUAAGCAACUUGCUCGGUCCGCUAGUGCAGUCUGAGGACGCCCUUUGCCAUCGUGGCGCCAACAGCGCACAGGCUCCUGCCUACCAGGUGCAUGCGGUGGUUGUAAGCGGGGCCGCUGCAGCCUCCUCUGUACUCGGUGGCGCGGUACGUGGCGUGCUGUCUGAUGGCGUGUUGCACAGCGGUGAUGUGCUUCCGCAGGGCCGCCCCCGUGAUGAGCUGACGCCUGCGCCGUCGUGGCGCGCGUGGGAGCUGAGCAUGGACGCCGUGCGCGCCGCUCUUGGCGGUGCCGCGCGUGGCGGUGCGCGGUGCCUCGGCGACCGUGUGACGCUGGUGGCACCUGCAGCGCCGGCGCCGGACACAACGGUGGAGGUGCUCGUGGACGCUGCACUGCGCACGCGUGGCGGCCGCGCCGGGUCGCACUUCGUUGUGCUGUCGUCGUUCCUUGGCGCGACGCGGAUGCCGUACACGGAGCCCGGCGACGCGCUGGAGACGCGCCACGAGGGCACUGGGCUGCUGGACGCGCUUGUGCGCACAGCAACGCAGCGCAACGGCGGCCGCGUCGCAGCUGCACAGUGCACUAUACUGCAGCACGGUGGCGACAGCGGCGGCUGGCGCUACCCACCGCCGCGGCUCACAGCAAGGGAGCUCGCUUCGCUGCGUGUCGUGGACAAGGGCGGGAUGACAGGGGCCACACACAACGGCGAGGUGCUGCUGCCGUACCUGACGCGGCGGCUGAGCGGGUACAGCGCUGCGGACCAGCGCGCAUCGUGGGAGGAGGUGGUGGACGCCGUGUCGCUGCACUGCGGCAUCUUCGACCGCCGUGUGUACGACGCUGUUGGCGGGCUUGCGGGCGCGCUGUCGGAGCCCGCUGUGAGGGACGCCGUGAGUGUGCGCGAUGACCACGCGAUGGGUGCCGUGGACCGUGGUGGGUGGGCACUGACGCUGCGGAUGCAGGAGGCGUACCCUGCGUGGCAGGUGUGGGGCAGUCGCGCUGCUGCGGUGGUGCGCGACGACGUUGCCGGCGUGCGUGCGCUCCCUGCCGUUGUUUCGCUGCAGCGGCCUGUGUUCUCGCUGCUGGACCGGUACGGCCGCACCGCAUACAGUGUGGUGACGGAGCUGCAGCGCCGCCGCGUGGGAGUGCCGUGGCGUCUUCGUGGUGAGGACUCGCACCACUCUGCAGAGCGGACUGCUGUGGUGCAGAACUGCCUCCCGCCGGUGAUCCGGUACCACACGGACUUCAGUGCUAAGUGUUGUGGCCUGAACCGUGAGGCGAUGGCGUACAUCCGUCCGUUGAUGGAGCGCUACGGGAUCGGUGUGAUGGGGGGCGGGGGGCGCAGCUCAUGCCCGAAAUCCGGAGACGCGCUCCUUCAGCUUGCAUACGGGGGUGUGAGGGAUCUGUUCAGCAGCGUGUCGUCCCCGGCGACCCACAGCUUUUUCCGCGAUCGCCUGCGCCACCGCGCCCUCCUCGUCUUCCAGCACUGGCGCGCCCAUCGCUUCUUCCCAGUUCCCAAGCGCCGGUUCCAUGAGUGCCCAGAGGUGUACAUCGGGCACAGCAUGAGCGAGCUGUCCAACAUCCAGCAGAAGUGGAUAGUGCCGAUGCGGACACGUGCCGACGAGAUCUGGACGACGGCGGACUUCUUCGCCACCAUCUACCGCCGCAACGGUGUGAGCCCCGACAAGAUCCGCGUUGUGCCGGAGGCCGUGGAUGUGUACGAGUACGACCCGGCCAACUACGCACGGCAGCCCACGAUGAGUAGGUGCGCGAGCAUAUCGUCGUGCGACAACCGCCCGAGCUUGACAGAGGAGGAGCGGCUGCAGCGGUACGUGUUCUUCUCGAGCUUCAAGUGGGAGAGCCGCAAGGGGUGGGACGUGCUGCUGAAGGCGUACUGGGCCGCGUUCGGUCCCUCUGCCCCGUCGCAGCUGCGUGAGCGCACGACGCUGGUGAUCAAGACACGCCUCACACGUCGCCAUUCUCCUGGGUUGUCUCGCGAUUCGGUCCUACACUUCAUUGAGACAUGGGGACGCGGCGGUGCGUUGCCGGGGAUGACGUCGAUGGCUGACUAUCCCCACAUCAUCAUUGUCACGGGCGAGGUGAGCGCGGCUGAAGUUGUUCAGAUGUACGCGAACGCGGAUGCCUUUGUGCACCCGACGAAGGCGGAGGGGUGGGGCCUGCCUGCCGUGGAGGCGAUGGCGAUGGGGCUGCCGGUGCUUGUCACGGAGUGGGGCGGGCCGCUGCGGUUCAUGGAGCGCGACUCUUGCUUCCGCAUUCCUGUGGACGGGCUUGAAGAGAUCUCGCCAAAUUCGCCGUACGGGUACGAGGAGGGCAUGAAGAUGGCCAUCCCGAGUGUGGAGAAGACUGCGGAGCUGAUGCGGUACGUCGUGGAGCACCCGGAGCACGCGCGGCGCGUUGGUCGUCGUGCGCGUGAGUACGCUGUGCGUGAGCUGAGCGAGGAGGCUGUUGCGGACCGCAUGGACCGUCUGUUUGUGGACUCUGUGAUCGGGAGGCAGCGCGGCUGAGUCACGUGCGACUCGUUGGUUUCUCUUGGGUGUGUUGCGGAGUUCAAUGUGUAUAGCGAAGAAUGGGGCUCCAGCUACAUGCGCCUGCCGGUGCGGCGCAUCGCUAGGUGGGUGCCUGCCGUUUCUCUGUUUUGUUGGGCUUCCCAGGAGAGAGGCACAGGACUGGUCUGAGUUUGGCACUCGUGGCCGACGACGGCCGGUCGGUGGUACACGCACAGCUGCCGCUCAACGAAGGUCAUCUGUGCUCCCUGGCACGCCUGUGGCGGCUGUGCUUGGAACGGUGCGAAUGCACAAUGGAGGGAGGGAAGGCGCGCUCUGGUCACAGGUUGAAGGCAACCUUCCUUUUUGGAGGACCAGUGGAGGGCGAAGCCCAUACCGAGUUGCUGUCGCAUUCCUGCUUACGGGCUCCCCCCUCCGGCACACAGUCCUCCGUGUUGGACCGCUUGCCCAAUAUCGCUGGAAACUGUAUGCGGCGGUUGCAGAGUUCUUUACGAUCACGCCGAAUGGGAAGCGGAGUUGAGAGAGGGAGAGAAACGAGGAUUUAGCCGUCGCGUGUCUGCUCUCCCCACACACCUCCAUCAUAAAGGCCACCGUGCACUCCGUUUAGGCACUACCAUUUAACUGCAGCACCGGCGAACGCCGAAACGGCACUCUUCUCCGCCGCGUGCCGUACUGACCUUCGUCAUUCACGUUGUUUUUCGGUACGUUCAUCACCCGGAUGCAUAUAUAUAUAUAUAUAUAUGUUUGUGUGUGUGUGUGUGUGUGCUGCGGUACCGCUCCGUGUGAUGCUGCUGCGUCGCUGCAGCAACUAGCGCUCUCUGCGUGCAAUGCGUGCGCCACAAGCGGUGCAGUGGGGAGAAUCGAAACUCGAUUCUCCCGGUGGGCCGAAGAAGGCAUAGGCAUGCACGAGUUGCUUGCUACUUCGUAUUAUCUUUCAUUGCCUGCUGGAUGCCGAACGACAUCGACAGCUGUUUGGUUCGCUCUUGUGCCUCUGUUUUCCUCACGAGCAUAUCCCUGUUUCUCUGGUCCGCCUUCCCGUCAUCUCUCCACCUAG
rnacentral:misc_RNA from 1 species